AUUGAACGCUGGCGGCAUGCUUUACACAUGCAAGUCGAGCGGCAGCGCGGGGCAACCUGGCGGCGAGCGGCGGACGGGUGAGUAGAGCAUCGGAACGUAUCCCGUAGUGGGGGACAACCCAGCGAAAGCUGGGCUAAUACCGCAUAUGCUAUACGGAGGAAAGUGGGGGACUCGCAAGGGCCUCACGCUAUGGGAGCGGCCGAUGUCCGAUUAGCUAGUUGGUGGGGUAAAGGCCCACCAAGGCGACGAGCGGUAGCUGGUCUGAGAGGAUGAUCAGCCACACUGGGACUGAGACACGGCCCAGACUCCUACGGGAGGCAGCAGUGGGGAAUUUUGGACAAUGGGGGCAACCCUGAUCCAGCCAUGCCGCGUGCGGGAAGAAGGCCUUCGGGUUGUAAACCGCUUUUGUCCGGGAAGAAAAGGCCUCGUCUAAUACACGGGGUUCUUGACGGUACUGGAAGAAUAAGCACCGGCUAACUACGUGCCAGCAGCCGCAGUAAAAC
rnacentral:rRNA from 1 species